UACGGAGGGUGCAAGCGUUACUCGGAAUCACUGGGCGUAAAGCGCGCGCAGGCGGCUAGAUAAGUUGGAAGUGAAAUCCUAUGGCUCAACCAUAGAACUGCUUCCAAAACUGUUUAGCUAGAGUCUGGGAGGGGAAGAUGGAAUUAGUAGUGUAGGGGUAAAAUCCGUAGAGAUUACUAGGAAUACCAAAAGCGAAGGCGAUCUUCUGGAACAGUACUGACGCUGAGGCGCGAAAGCGUGGGGAGCAAACAGGAUUAGAUACCCUGGUAGUCCACGCCCUAAACGAUGAAUGUUAGUCGUCGGGACUCUAGUAGUUUCGGUGAUGCAGUUAACACAUUAAACAUUCCGCCUGGGGAGUACGGUCGCAAGAUUAAAACUCAAAGGAAUAGACGGGGACCCGCACAAGUGGUGGAGCAAAUCCCAGAAAGCCAUCCGUAGUCCGGAUUGGAGUCUGCAACUCGACUCCAUGAAGCCGGAAUCGCUAGUAAUCGCGGAUCAGCAUGCCGCGGUGAAUACGU
rnacentral:rRNA from 1 species